UGGUCAUAUUCUGUUGAAACACCGGUUCAUGUACAAUCACUGAAGUUAAGCAGCAUUGAGCUUGGUCGGUACCUAAAUGAGUAACCACUUGGGAAUACCAUGUGCA